CGCCUCUUGUCAAAACAUAAGAGGUACAGCCUGCCCAGUGAACAUUAAACGGCCACGGUACCCUAACCGUGCUAAGGUAGCACAAUUACUUGUCCUUUAAAUGGGGACUAGAAUGAAAGGCAUCACGAGGGUUAUACUGUCUCCUCUUUUUAAUCAGUGAAACUGACAUCCCCGUGAAAAGGCGGGAAUUAAUAUAUUAGACGAGAAGACCCCAUGGAGCUUUAGACAUCCCGUAAAUCUAAGCACUUUCCUAUUAGCUUCUAAUUUCUACCCUAAGUCUUUGGUUGGGGCAACCAUGGAGUAAAAAUUAACCUCCACACUGAAUGGAUUAUUCCUCAUUCAAGAGCUACCCCUCUAAAAAACAGAAUACUGACACCCACUGAUCCGGAAUCCGAUCAAUGAACCAAGUUACCCUGGGGAUAACAGCGCUAUCUACCUUGAGAGCCCAUAUCGACAGGUGGGUUUACGACCUCGAUGUUGGAUCAGGGUAUCCUAGUGGUGCAGCCGCUACCUAAGGUUCGUUUGUUCAACGAUUAAAACCCU
rnacentral:rRNA from 1 species